AUUGAACGCUGGCGGCAGGCCUAACACAUGCAAGUCGAACGAGUGGCGGACGGGUGAGUAAUGUCUGGGAACCUGCCUGAUGGCGGGGGAUAACUACUGGAAACGGUAGCUAAUACCGCAUACCAUCAGAUGUGCCCAGAUGGGAUGUGCUAGUUGGUGGGGUAAAGGCGCACAAAGGCCACGAUCCCUAGCUGGUCUGCGAGGAUGACCAGCCACACUGCAACUGAGACACGGUCCAGACUCCAACGGGAGUCAGCAGUGGGGAAUUGUGGACAAUGGGCGAAAGCCUGAUGCAGACAUGCCGCGUGGAUGAAGAAGGACUUCGGGUUGUAAAGUACUUUCAGCGGGGAGGCGUUACCCGCAGAAGAAGCACCGGCUAACUCCGUGCCAGCAGCCGCGGUAAUAC
rnacentral:rRNA from 1 species